ensembl:lncRNA
AGCCGUAAAGUGGACAAAGAUCAUGAACAGAUAUUUCACAGAAAAGGAAAUUCAAAUAGUUCUUAAGCAUGUGUGUCAAGACGUUCAACCUCACGCACAAUAUAAGUAUUACAAAUUAAAACUGCCAGAUACUGUUUUCACCUGUUACAUUGACAGAUCAAAAACAAUUUGAUAAUAUUUUGAAGAGGAUAGAGAUUAACAGUGACCUCACACAUUGUUGGUAGAAGUAUAAAUUAAUAGAAUUUGAUGUGAUUGAAAUUUCUAGAGUACUAAGGUAAAUAGAAAUAUCUGGGAAUAUACAUAAAUUGGUGUAGGUGUUUUAUAGGACAAGGAAGAGCAGACAUUUAUCUGAACACUAACUUGUGUUCUUUUUUGGCUUCAGUCAUAAAAUAAACCCAGGCUAGCGUGAAGACAGCAAGAUAUAAACACCCUACCCUUCACCCCCUCACCCCUGACCCUGACCCCAACCCUACACACACAUAAAGGGUAUUCCUUUUAGGUUCAGAGUCAGUUUCCCUUCCCAGAUCACCUUUUCUUUUACCCUAGUGCUGGUGAAGUUUGUUUUUAAAUCGCUGAGCUUUCCGUAUACUUUGUAACUUUUCAGAGCCUUGUACUUUGUUAUCUACUUAGUAGCACUUAAGUACAGAUUGAAGUGAACAGUGCUUAGUUUAUUAGCUUUUGAUAGCCACUUCAUAAUUUUAUGCUUUUGGAUAAAGCAUAAAAUCUUGUAUAAAGUGAUUUAUAAUUUUACUUGAUAGUUGUACUUAGGAUUUUAUUGCAGUAAAUGGUCGUAGAACACUUUUAUAGUUGUUUAUUAUAUAAUACGGUAUAUUAAUGGAACUUUACUUUUACAUGGUUCUUUUGUUCUAUAAAAUAUUGUUAGAUCUUAGUCUAACAGUAAAUGUUGUGGAAAGAUGGGGAGGCAGCUGAAAGUGGAACUUUCCUAGAAAAAAAAAAUUGUGAGAAGGUGUGAGAAAGAUGACUGAGCAGUUCAGGGCCCAUGUACUUAAGAAAGGAAGAGUAAAGAGUGAGGGCGUGGAUUUUGGAAAGUCUGUGGUUGGAGGGGUUACAGCUGGGGAGGAGUUUUAACCUAGGAAAAGGCUCUUAAUUUAGUUGCAUGCGUACUGUGAGGAUACAUUACAUAUUUUGUGGUAUUUUAAUUCCGUAGGUCUUUUGCCGUGAAUUGACUCUGAUGUAGAAAUUCUCCACCUAGAUGGGUAUCAGAAUCUUUUAGAGUUAUCCCACACCAAAGGGUUCUAAUUUAGUAAGUCUGGUGUCGGGUCAGAGCACACUUAUAUUUUUAGAGUCUCCAAGAGCCAAUACGUCCUACAGCAUAUUCUCUUUAAUUAUCAAAUCAGUCAACAUAGGUUUUAAGACAUUGUACCACUUAGAUAACUCACCCUAGAAGGUCUUUCUCAGCUUGGUCUCUGCUUCAGCCAGAUGAUAGCUCUACAAACAUCUAAUUGGUUUCCAUUGCUUUGCUCCUUUUCAUGCUCUGUCCUUCCUUGCUCUUUUGUUUCUUCUCUGCUAAUAAAUGUUUACGCUUGCCUCCCCCCAAUAAGCUCUCAUCGGCUGGCCUCAUCCACAAUUUAUCCUUUCAGUGCAGGACAAAUUAGAACAUAACACUGACACAGCUGUUAAGUGCACAUCAUAUGAGGGGCUGAUUCGUGUGUUUUAGCUCCUGAGUUGUGUGCAUAUAUUCCCCUGUUUUACUGUUUGAACAUCUUAUUUUUUUUUCUCUUGCUACCCAGAGCUUAGAACUUAGACAUAAUUGGUUUAGUAUCCUGAUGGCAUCAGCAGUACAAGUUUACUGUGUUUUAGGAACUUUGCUAAGUGUUCUCCACACAUUAUCUCAUUUUCCCAUCAACAGUUUUUUUAAAAAAUUAAAAGCAAAUGAUUGUAUUAGUUUCCUCUGGCUGCUGUAACAAAUUGCCACAAACUUGGUGGCAUAAAACAAAAGUUUAGGAUUUCCCAUUGUAGCUCAGUAGAAAUAGAUCUGACUAGCAUCCAUGAGGACGCAGGUUCCAUCCCUGGCCUUGCUCAGUGGGCUAAGGAUCUGACAUUGCCGUGAAUUGUGGUAUAGGUCACAGCCACAGCUCGGAUCUGGCAUGGCUGUGGCCGUGGCGUAGGCUGGCAGCUACAGCUCCAAUUCAACCCCUAGCCUGGGAACCUCCAUAUGCUGUGGGCACAGCCCUAAAAGGUGGGGGGAAAAAAAAAGUUUAUUCUCUCACAGUUUUGGAGGCCAGACAUCUGAAAUCAGUAUCAUUGGGCCAAAGUCAGGGUGCUCCCUCCAAAGGCUGCAGAAGAGGGAGUUCCCAUUGUGGCUCAGCAGUUACGAACCCAACUAAGAUGCACGAGGAUUCGGGUUUGAUCCCUGGCCUCAGCUCAGUGGGUUGGAGAUCCAGUGUUGCUGUGAGCCGUGGUGUAGGUCACAGACUUGGCUCAGAUCCCGAGUUGCUGUGGCAUAGGCCAGCAACUACAGCUCUGAUUCGACCCUAGCUUGGGAACUGCCGUGUGCUGCAGGUGCAGACACUGAAAAGAUAAAAUGAAAAGACAAAGGCUCCAGAAGAGACUGUAUCCCUCGCUGCUUCUGUAGUUUCUGAUGGCUGCCAGAAUUCCUUGGUUUCUGGUUGCAUCACUCCAGUCUUCAAGAGCAGAAUUUCAAACCUUCCUCAGUUCUAGUCUUCUCAGCACCUUUUCUUGGGUGUGAAAGAGAGAGAGAAAUCUCUUUUUUGCCUCUCUCUUAUAAGGACACAUAUGAUGGCACUUGAGGGCCCCCCUGUUGAUCCAGGAUAAUCUCCCCAUCACAGAAUCCUUAAUUUAGUCAUAUCUGCAAAGGCCCUUUUUCCAAAUAAUGUAAGCUUCCCAGGUUCUUAGGACUCAUAAGGCUAUAGAUAGCUUCUCAUCUGAUGAUACAGUAAGAGCUAAUGUCACAGUUAUUUCCAAAUUUUUGGAAGUUUUAGAAAAUGUUCUUUUAAUACUGUAAUGACAGAUUACAAAUUAUAAGAUAUUACUAUAAAUAGUUUAUUGCUAUUUUGAGCUUAAUGGUUGAGUUAUUUUUCAUUGGCUUUUCAUUAACUAUAAUAUUUGGAGUUUUGCUUACUAGCAAAAUAUUUACUGUUUCUUGGAGUUCCCGUCAUGGCGAAGCGGAAAUGAAUCCGACUAGGAACCAUGAGGUUGCAGGUUCGAUCCCUGGCCUUGCUCGGUGAGUUAAGGGUAUGUCAUUGCCGAGAGCUGUGGUGUGAGUUGCAGACGCAGCUCAGAUCCUGCAUUGCUGUGGCUGUGGUGUAGGCUGGCAGCUGUAGCUCCUAUUCGACCCCUAGCCUGGGAACCUCCAUAUGCCAUGGGUGAGGCCAAAAAAAAAAAAAAAAAAAAAAAAAAAAAAAUUUACUGUUUCUUAUGUAGUUAAAUAGUAAUUUCUUGAAACUGGGUACUUUAUUAUUUUCUUAUUCAGGACGGCAAGAGAGGUAAGAGACUGAGUUAUAAUUCUAGUUUUUCUAACUUCCAGCUCUUCUAUUUUGUUCAGAACACAGAGCUCUGUGUGAUGCAAACAGUAAACUUGCCAGCGGAAAUUCUGGUGUUACCAUUGAAUGCAAUAUACCUCAUCUCUAAAACAGGGAUUAUAACAUCUUCAAAGAGCUGGGAUAAGCUUUUACUCAGAUGAUACAGCGGAGGUGCUUGCACAGAGGGUCGGUAUCAUUCCCUUCUGUGACUCUCUGGUGUUGUACCGUGUUGCAUAUACAGUGGAUGAUAUUUGUUGAAGAAACGUGUUUUCAGUUGCCAUUACUUGAUUCAUAAGUUUCAUUUUUUCUUUCCAGUGUAAGAGUUAUGUCUCAUUUAGUAAAUAUUUUUAAACUUUGCUUUUAAAGUAGUCCAAUAAAUAUUAGAUGCCGUUGACUGAAGUUAAGUCUUAUUUUUAUGACAUUUCAGUGUGUUUACAAAGGAAAAUUAAAUAUUGGGUGGAAAGAUGACUGUGUGACCUCAAAGAGUCUUUCCACCAUGGUCUAAAAUUUUUAUAAAAUUCACGUAAUUCUAAUUUUUCCUCUUGCUUUCCCUCUAAAAGUCUAAAUAGUGUUUAAUAAUGUAGCAUUUUGUUUUGAAUGAAGAAAAUGACCAUGCUUGUAAUGUGGUUGUAAUAGUCCUGUAUCAUAUAAUAGGAAUUCUUUAGUGUUUGGAGUGAGUGUCUUCAGGUGGAUUUGUCUUUUUAUUUUGCCUAGAGUAUGUGUGUCUGCAUACAUUUAAUAAAAUGUUUUAUGGGGAAAUUUAACUUUACAUGAACACAAUUAUUUGCCCUUUUAUUCAUCUAUUUUAUAUCCUCCUAUCUGGGACUUUGGUAUUAAAAACUCAGGUAGGAGUUCCGUUGUGGCUCAGUGGUUAACAAAUCUGAUGAGGAUGUGAUCCAUGAGGACUUGGGUUCCAUCCCUGGCCUUGCUCAGUGGGUUAAGGAUCUGGCAUUGCCAUGAGCUGUAGUGUAGGUUGCAGAUGUGGCUCAGAUCUGGUGUUGCUGUAGUGGUGGUGUAGGCCAGCAGCAGCAACAGCUCUGAUUCAACCCCUAGUCUGGGACAUCAUAUGUCAGAGGUGUGGCCCUAAAAAGCAAAAAAAACCAAAAACAAAACAACAACAAAAAACUUGGGUGGCUGACUUAGAGAAAUUUAAUUCAUUGAAUUUGUUUAUUUUAGAAAUUAAAUGAUGGUCAUGCAUUAUUUUAUAGAAGUUGAUUCAGAUAUUUUUCAUUUUGUUUUUUAAAUAGUAGCCUUUUAGAAUGGGGGAUAAAUGAAAAAAAACAAACAAACCACGUUUUAAGAAGAUUGGAUACCCUGUGAGGCAAACAGCCAAAGCCAUCACAGUAUGCCAUCACCGUUCUUAUCAUUGUGUUCUUGAAAACCCCAAGAGAGGGAAAUUUUCCUUGAAGGAUUUUAAGAUGUUAUGAGGGAAGGAGCUGGCAGCUGUAGCUCCAAUUCAGCCCCUAACCUGGGAACCUCCAUAUGCCUCAGGUGUGGCCCUAAAGAGCAAAAAAUAAAAAUGUUAUGGGGGAAAUACGGUUAAGGAGUCUGAGAUUGUGAAUGAAUCCUUUUAAAAAACCUUAUAAACUUUUAACAUCCUCCCAAUUAAAAUAUUAAAUAUAUCAAACAAAUUAUCAACAUUUUAUGCAGUGAAGUUUGGAAAUUCUAGGUACCAUACAGGUAGUUUCCACUUACCACUGCUUUCUUGAAAGAAAUGUUUCAGGAUUUCCAGUCUUGGGGUGGGGGACCAGGAAAUGCCUCAUAAAUCCUAAGAAGCAUGUUUUAGGGUGGCUUAUUCAGAGCCUUCCUUAUUUUCACUUAAAGGAUACUGACCUCAACCUCUGUUUCUGUUGUUUUAGAAAUAGUAUAACUUGGAUAUUUGAGAUAAAAACACCAACUUUUAGUAACCUUUAUUUAACUCACUUAGUUGUCUGUAGCCAAGUGGGUGUUUAUAGUUAGUUCCUUUCCAGCCUUGGUUAACUUCAUGCCAGUUUGCGUCUGACUUGGCCCUGAUGGUCCUUCCGUUCUCAUCUCUGUUCUCUCCUUCCCAGCAGACCAUGAUUCUAAAUCAAAGGCUGGGAAUUUGUUUUGUCUGUUUUUAUCUCUUUUUUAGAAAGAGUACCUCGCAAAUAUCUUCUCCCCCUUCUCUGCUGUCUCCUUGUUUCCCUUUUAUCUUCCAAACCUGCCGCCUCUCUUUCCCAAAAUAUUUGCGGAAACAACAGUAUCUCUCUACCAAAAGCAAAUCAGUGUGUGUGUGUGUAUAUGUAGGUACUGGAAUUUCACCUAAUAAAACAGUUACAUUUUAUAGUUUAAGGGGAAAAAGGUCCCCCUUAGCCAAGCAUUGUUCCAUGAUCUUGGGCAGUGUUUAAUAUUACUGAAAAAAUUAGGAAACCUCACAAGUUAGCAUGUAAGUAUUGGUUUAUUAUGUGCAGCAGACUGUACAUUCUGAAAGAGUUUACGAAAAUAAAUUCUUGGGUGUUCCCGUCGUGGCUCAGAGGAAACAAAUCUGACUAGUAUCCAUGAGGAUGCAAGUGUGAUCCCUGGCCUUGCUCAGUGGGUUAAGGAUCCGGUGUUGAUGUGAGCUGUGGUGUAGGCUGCCAGCUGUAGCUCCAAUUCAACCCCAAGUCUGGGAACUUCCGUAUGUCUCGGGUGCAGCCCUAAAAAGACAAAAGAAAAGAAAAAAUAAACUCUCAUCUGUAGGGAAGGACUUCCUAAUCUCUUGAUUGCAUUAAUUUUGAGAUGAGCCUUAAAGAUUCCUUUUAGCUCUAAAACUUGGAUUCUGAAAAAGCAAGAAGGGGCCAUCAAAGGAUUAAACAUUGAAUAGCCAAAAAAAA